AGUGAGGUCAGCUAAUCAAGCUGUAGGGCCCAUACCCCUAAAAUGUAGGUUAGACCCCUACCUUCACUA
rnacentral:tRNA from 1 species